CCAAUAGCGUAUAUUAGUGUUGUUGCGGUUAAAAAGCUCGUAGUUGAAUUUCGGGAUUGGAAUAUAUCGGUCAUGCCUUUAGGGGCAUGAAUCGGUGUGUAGCCAAUUUCUCACCUUCUGGUGAAUUGGGAUGCUCUUGGGUGUUUCAAUGAACUAGGACUUUUACUUUGAAAAAAAUAUAGUGUUUAAAGCGGGCAUUUUUGCUUGAAUACAUUAGCAUGGAAUAAUAAAAUAGGACGAUGGUUCUAUUUUGUUGGUUUUAGGACCACGUAAUGAUUAAUAGUGAUAGUUGGGGGCAUUAGUAUUCAAUAGUCAGAGGUGAAAUUCUUGGAUUUAUUGAGGACUAACUACUGCGAAAGCAUUUGCCAAGGAUGUUUUCAUUAAUCAAGAACGAAAGUUAGGGGAUCGAAGACGAUUUAUGUACGUCGUAGUCUUAACCACAAACUAUGCCGACUAGGAAUCAGACAAAGUUCAUUUUUUAACGACUUGUUUGGUACCUUACG
rnacentral:rRNA from 1 species